UACGUAGGGGGCGAGCGUUGUCCGGAUUUAUUGGGCGUAAAGAGCGUGUAGGCGGCCAGGUAGGUCCGUUGUGAAAACUCGAGGCUCAACCUCGAGACGUCGGCGGAAACCCUCUGGCUAGAGUCCGGAAGAGGAGAGUGGAAUUCCUGGUGUAGCGGUGAAAUGCGCAGAUAUCAGGAAGAACACCCGUGGCGAAGGCGGCUCUCGUGGGACGGUACUGACGCUGAGACGCGAAAGCGUGGGGAGCAAACAGG
rnacentral:rRNA from 1 species